CCUGCACUGUGAAUGUUUACAUGGUGUGUUCAAUAAAAACAUGGCAACAUUUCAUUCUUUGUGUGUUAUUAGUUUAAGCAGACUGUGAUUGUCUAUUGUUGUGACUUAGAUGAUGAUCAGAUCACAUUUUAUGACCACUUUGUGCAGAAAUCCAUAUCAUUCCAAAGGGUUCAAAUACUUUUUCUUGCAACUGUAGAACCAGCAAAACAAUGUACAU